rnacentral:rRNA from 1 species
CGGCUUACCAACCCGAUGCAAACUGCGAAUACCGGAGAAUGUUAUCACGGGAGACACACGGCGGGUGCUAACGUCCGUCGUGAAGAGGGAAACAACCCAGACCGCCAGCUAAGGUCCCAAAGUCAUGGUUAAGUGGGAAACGAUGUGGGAAGGCCCAGACAGCCAGGAUGUUGGCUUAGAAGCAGCCAUCAUUUAAAGAAAGCGUAAUAGCUCACUGGUCGAGUCGGCCUGCGCGGAAGAUGUAACGGGGCUAAACCAUGCACCGAAGCUGCGGCAGCGACACUGUGUGUUGUUGGGUAGGGGAGCGUUCUGUAAGCCUGUGAAGGUGU